UACGUAGGGUGCAAGCGUUGUCCGGAAUUAUUGGGCGUAAAGAGCUCGUAGGCGGUUUGUCGCGUCGAAUGUGAAAACCCGGGGCUCAACCCCGGGCCUGCAUUCGAUACGGGCAGACUAGAGUUCGGUAGGGGAGUCUGGAAUUCCUGGUGUAGCGGUGAAAUGCGCAGAGAUCAGGAGGAACACCGAUGGCGAAAGCAGGUAACUGGACCAUUACUGACACUCAGCUGCGAAAGCUAGGGGAGCAAACAGG
rnacentral:rRNA from 1 species